rnacentral:rRNA from 1 species
UACAGAGGUCUCAAGCGUUGUUCGGAUUCAUUGGGCGUAAAGGGUGUGUAGGUGGCGCCGUAAGUCGGGUGUGAAAUUUCGGAGCUUAACUCCGAAACUGCAUUCGAUACUGCCGUGCUUGAGGACUGGAGAGGAGACUGGAAUUACGGUGUAGCGGUGAAAUGCGUAGAUAUCGUAAGGAAGACCAGUGGCGAAGGCGGGUCUCUGGACGAGUUC